rnacentral:sRNA from 1 species
UGACGCAGAGCAGGCUUACUGGUGGUAG